GUCCUCAGCAAGAACAACAGCAUCACCACCAUCAUCACCACCACCACCAUCACCACCACCAUCAUCACCACAAUCAGCAUCAGCAUCAGCAAUCUCAUUAUGGAUCGGCAAGUCCAACGCGUUCGCGACAGUCUCACGACAAGGAACUUUGAAAUGUCAUAUGCGAAUAGUGACGUUGCGCAUCCAUCGUCGAUUGUUGACCGUACACUACGUCGGACAAGAAUUUAACCAAGCUGGUCGUCUCUCAGGACGAGUCCCGCCUUGCCAGAGUGAAGCGAGUCCUCGCAGGAUCGUUCCUUGGCCGAGGCAGAGGGUCCACGAGAGUGUUCGGUGCUCGGCUAGACUUGAUAGAGUCUUAUCAGGAAACGGGUGUACCCUACGUGGUC